rnacentral:lncRNA from 1 species
GGAUGUAAAUAAGAAGUAGAACCCGUCAAAAAAGGAAAAAGUAGAAGGUUGAGAGUAUAAAUAUCCAUCUUUUCACGCUAACGAAUGAUAACUAACCUCUCGCUCACUCCAAUAAUUGUGAAGAUCCGAAUCAUGAUAUCAUAUCUCGAUUUCUGCUUGGUCAAAGUUACCAGAUCACUACUUCUUUUAUAAUACUGGAUCAUCGGAACCUUUACACGUUUAAUUUAAGUACUAAUUUGCUAAUCAUAAUUUAUGAACACAGUGACUUGGAGGGCGCGUUACGCUUACGAUUUUAAUUGGAU